UUUGAACGCUGGCGGCAUGCCUUACACAUGCAAGUCGAACGGCAGCGGGGGAGAAGCUUGCUUUUCCUGCCGGCGAGUGGCGAACGGGUGAGUAAUACAUCGGAACGUGCCCUGUAGUGGGGGAUAACUAGUCGAAAGAUUAGCUAAUACCGCAUACGACCUGAGGGUGAAAGUGGGGGACCGCAAGGCCUCAUGCUAUAGGAGCGGCCGAUGUCUGAUUAGCUAGUUGGUGGGGUAAAGGCCUACCAAGGCGACGAUCAGUAGCUGGUCUGAGAGGACGAUCAGCACACUGGGACUGAGACACGGCCCAGACUCCUACGGGAGGCAGCAGUGGGGAAUUUUGGACAAUGGGCGAAAGCCUGAUCCAGCAAUGCCGCGUGUGUGAAGAAGGCCUUCGGGUUGUAAAGCACUUUUGUCCGGAAAGAAAUGGCUCUGGUUAAUACCUGGGGUCGAUGACGGUACCGGAAGAAUAAGGACCGGCUAACUACGUGCCAGCCGCCGCAGUAA
rnacentral:rRNA from 1 species